rnacentral:rRNA from 1 species
GACGAACGCUGGCGGCGUGCUUAACACAUGCAAGUCGAACGGAAAGGCCCUGCUUUUGUGGGGUGCUCGAGUGGCGAACGGGUGAGUAACACGUGAGUAACCUGCCCUUGACUUUGGGAUAACUUCAGGAAACUGGGGUUAAUACCGGAUAGGAGCCCCUGUUGCAUGGUGGGGGUUGGAAAGUUUCGGCGGUUGGGGAUGGACUCGCGGCUUACCAGCUUGUUGGUGGGGUAGUGGCUUACCAAGGCUUUGACGGGUAGCCGGCCUGAGAGGGUGACCGGCCACAUUGGGACUGAGAUACGGCCCAGACUCCUACGGGAGGCAGCAGUGGGGAAUAUUGCACAAUGGGCGGAAGCCUGAUGCAGCAACGCCGCGUGCGGGAUGACGGCCUUCGGGUUGUAAACCGCUUUCGCCUGUGACGAAGCGUGAGUGACGGUAAUGGGUAAAGAAGCACCGGCUAACUACGUG